CCUGAUGAAUCAGCAUCGGCUAACUCCGUGCCAGCAGCCGCGGUAAUACGGAGGAUGCAAGCGUUAUCCGGAAUUAUUGGGCGUAAAGCGUCCGUAGGUGGUUUAUCAAGUCUGCUGUCAAAGCGUGCGGCUUAACCGCAUAAGGGCAGUGGAAACUGAUGAACUAGAGUGCGAUAGGGGUAACAGGAAUUCCCAGUGUAGCGGUGAAAUGCGUAGAUAUUGGGAAGAACACCAGCGGCGAAAGCGUGUUACUGGGUCUGCACUGACACUGAGGGACGAAAGCUAGGGGAGCGAAAGGGAUUAGAUACCCCUGUAGUCCUAGCCGUAAACGAUGACAACUAGGCGUGGUUCGUAUCGACCCGAGCCGUGCCGUAGCCAACGCGUUAAGUUGUCCGCCUGGGGAGUACGCACGCAAGUGUGAAACUCAAAGGAAUUGACGGGGGCCCGCACAAGCGGUGGAGUAUGUGGUUUAAUUCGAUGCAACGCGAAGAACCUUACCAAGGCUUGACAUCCUCGGAACCCUGAUGAAAGUUAGGGGUGCCUUCGGGAGCCGAGAGACAGGUGGUGCAUGGCUGUCGUCAGCUCGUGUCGUGAGAUGUUGGGUUAAGUCCCGCAACGAGCGCAACCCACGUUUUUAGUUGCCAGCAUUCAGUUGGGCACUCUAGAGAGACUGCCGGUGACAAACCGGAGGAAGGUGUGGAUGACGUCAAGUCAGCAUGCCCCAUACGCCUUGGGCUACACACGUACUACAAUGCGUCGGACAAAGAGCAGCCAGCCAGCGAUGGUGAGCCAAUCUCAUAAACCGGCGCUCAGUUCAGAUUGCAGGCUGCAACUCGCCUGCAUGAAGGCGGAAUCGCUAGUAAUCGCAGGUCAGCAUACUGCGGUGAAUACGUUCCCGGGCCUUGU
rnacentral:rRNA from 1 species